rnacentral:lncRNA from 1 species
GAAGUUACAAAAAAAAAGCAUUCAGUACUUAAAAUAAAUAUGAACAAGGACAUCCUGUGUUAUGCAAAGAUGUGUAUUUCGGCACAAGCGAUGACCUAUAGACCGUGUGUAUCAUAUGUAUAUUUAGUGUGGGUUGCUCCGAAUUAAGAAGGUAUAAAUACAGGAAAAUAAAGAAAAAAAAAUACAAAAUUAGAUUAGAGUAUAACGGGCAAAAUAAAGAACAGAGGAACAUGGUAUAAGAAAAUUAAGGAAAAUGGUAUAAGAAAAUUCAAGAAUAGAGGGACAUGGUCUAGUUUUUUGUCGGACAAUUGUUGAUGAUUGUUUAAAGUAAAGUGCAUUUAUAGGUAAAAAUAAUACACAAUCGUUUGUACAUUGGUAGGGAAUUAUGUUUGGAGUUGAUGAGGCA